GCCUUGGUGAUCCAUCCUGCUCAGAGAUGGCUCCUAUCUCUUUGGCUCUAGAAAGUGUAUUUUUAACAUUGAGUUGUGGGGAGGCUAACAUUGGAGCUCAGUCUUCUGUUUUGUUCUGAUUUCAUUGUCACAAAUACUAGUAUUUCCUCCUUUGCCAGAUCAAUGUGGACUCAAAGUUAAGAGGGAAUCCAUUGAUUUGGAGUUCUGUUUUCAGAACUCUAGUUAUCAGAUUUUGGAGCUCCUAGGGUCAAAUGUGCCUCAUCGUGUCCUGUAUUUUGCAUCUUUAUUUUCUUUCCCGUUCAUCUUCCCUCCCUGUCUCUUCCAUCGCCUGGGAUUUGCCAAGCGCUAGUCUAGGUUCCCAAGAUACAGCAGUAAACAAAGCAGAUAAACCCUUGGCCCUCCUGAGCCUGCUCUAGGGGCCUCUGCUUCAUCUUCUCAUCUGGACAUUCAUGUGGGUGAACAAAAGCUUUCUUUGCCUAUAACUGUUCCUCUUUCCCAUAGCCACUGUUCCUGGCCUCGUGGAUUCACUGUCUUGACUUUCUAAGGACGUGAGAGCUUUUGGAAGCUGUAUUCUCAUAGUUGCCUUUGUUUGUUUUUUAUUCAGAUUUUUCUCUUUGUUCAUUUUUGAAACUUUUGAUCCCUGGUUGUCAGCCAUAUUCUUAGGAGGGAAGAGGAAGUCGUCUAAGAGCUCCAUGGAGCUGAGUGGGGCCUGUGGGAGGGCAGGCUGCACUUGGAGGGGAAUGCCUGGAGACCCAGUCAUGGUGCUGGGGACCCCUGAUGCCUACUCCCUGGGCACCUACUGCCAGGCUCUCUCCAGACACUUUAUCUAUAAAGCCAAAAGCUCUGGUGGCAGACACAGUUGCCUGCAGGGUGGGGCAGACUGUUUCCUAGACAGACCCCUCAUUAUCUCUGGGUCAGCUCUGGCCACAGCCUUGCUUUUCCACCUGCCAAUUUAGCUAGACUGGCCCUGUUAGGCAGCUCAGUUUGUCUGCACAGCCCCUCCUAUUGUAUCUACCAGCUCUUCCAGAUUUUAGCAUCGUUCAUCAAACUCGCCCACUAGCUGGUGACCCUCUCCCAUGCUUUUGGCCCUUUAGACUUUUCCUUGAUGGUUACUCCAGCACAGGUUUUAGGGGAGGCUAACAUUGGAGCUCAGUCUUCUGUUUUGUUCUGAUUUCAUUGUCACAAAUACCAGUAUUUCCUCCUUUGCCAGAUCAAUGUGGACUCAAAGUUAAGAGGGAAUCCAUUGAUUUGGCCCCAUGCAGGGUCAUUUUGAAGCUGGGGCACAUGGCAAUCCCUGGUGUGCAGGAAUGUGUGCCUCGCCAUUUGAGGUCAGAUCUGGGUCUGGCUAGUUGUUUUCUGAUGUCCUCUUUUCUUUUGGUCCCAGGGAUUAAACCCAGGGGUGCUUAACCACGGAGCCACAUUCCCAGCCCUUUUUAUUUGUUUGUUUGUUUAUUUGUUUGAGAUGGGCUCUCACUAAAUUGCUUAGGGCCUUGGUAAGUUGCUGAGGCUGCCUUUGAACUUGAGACCCUCCUGCCUUAACCUCCCAAGGCUACUAAGAUUAUAGGUGUGUCUGAUGUCAUCUUUCAAAAGAAGGAAUCCUAGGUUCUCCCUAAGCCUGAGUUAAUUUCAUUCAUACUUUUUUCUUUCCCUGUUAGGUGAUGGGUUUAUUAUUUGCUGUGUGAAGUAAUAAUUCCUUUUUUGAAAUGUGGUUAAUUGGGGAUGUUUUCUUCUUGUCAUAUGGUUAAGGAAUCUAAGUCAACUUACCUGUGCUGUUAGUGAUUUUAUAGAUAUUUUGUCAUCAGGCCAGGAAUGUCCUGCUUUCUAG
rnacentral:lncRNA from 1 species